CCAUCUGCCCCUGAGCUUUUUUUUGGGGGGGGGGUGGGAAUUUUGUUUUGUUUUGUUUUGUUUUUAUUCUUUCAUCUCUUUUUACAGUCCACACUUUAUCUUACCCCUGGUCCACCCUCCAACUGUUCCACAUCCCACACUCUUUCCCUCUGCCCCUGCUCCAAGAGGAUGUCCCCAUCUUCACCCCCCAUUCCACCAGAUCUCCCUACUCCCUGGGGCCCCAAGUCUCUUUAGGUACAUCUUCUCUGACUAAGUCCAGACCCAGAAGUCCUCAGCUGUAUAUGUUUUAGGGGUCUCAUAUCUGCUGGUAUAUACUGCUGGUUGGUGGCUCAGUGUCUGAGAGAUCCUGGGAGUUCAGGUAAUGUAUAAGUGGCUCAGCCAUGCAUGUACUCAGUCAGCAAGAUGACUCAGUGGGAAAAGGCCCUUGCAGUCAAGCCUGGCUGGCUCAGUUGAGGCAACAUGUCUUCUGGCCUCCACUCAAGUUAUAAAAUAAAAGUGCAGCAUGAAGGAUGUCAAGCUUAGGAUCUGAGAUGGAACUAGCAAGACAGAGUACAAGAACAUGUAGAUUUCACCAAGACUUGGUCUGAAGAGUUUUAAGUCUCACAAUCCACGAUCACUGUGCCGACAGCUUGCGAUUCAGUUCCAACAUUCUUUUAUGGCCUUUGGAUUCCUUUGCUAAUUCUGGCUACCAGGGCCCUGAGUUUUCUGGAAAUCAGGGUAGAAAAAAAAAUGUCUUUAAUAACCAUUGAGUUCAUCCUUUUUUUUUUUCUUUUUUUUCUUUUCCAUUUAGAAUGUGCACAUGCAAGUUAUUUUGUACCAAACUUGGGAUCAUUUACUUUCUUCUUGAAUAUUGGUGUUAAACAACAUUCUUAAAGCAAGGCUCUUUGAAACAUCAACAUUAUAAAGCUGUGGAAAAAUGAAUUAAAGCUAAUUU